rnacentral:tRNA from 1 species
GCGCGGGUGGUGAAACUUGGUAGACACGCAAGGUUGAGGGCCUUGUGUCCGUAAGGACGUGGAGGUUCAAAUCCUCUCCCGCGCA